GACGAACGCUGGCGGCGUGCCUAAUACAUGCAAGUCGAACGCGGUUGGGACGGGUGAGUAACCCGUGGGUAACCUCCCAUCAGAGGGGAUAACACUUGGAAACAGGUGCUAAACCGGUACUGAUGGAUGGACCCGCGGUGCAUUAGCUAGUUGGUGAGGUAACGGCUCACCAAGGCCACGAUGCAUAGCCGACCGGAGAGGGGGAUCGGCCACACGGGGACUGAGAAACGGCCCAGACUCCUACGGGAGGCAGCAGUAGGGAAUCUUCCGCAAUGGGCGAAAGCCUGACGGAGCAACGCCGCGUGAGUGAAGAAGGUCUUCGGAUCGUAAAACUCUGUUAUUAGGGAAGCGGUACCUAAUCAGAAAGCCACGGCUAACUACGUGCCAGCAGCCGCGGUAAUUC
rnacentral:rRNA from 1 species